rnacentral:rRNA from 1 species
AUUGAACGCUGGCGGCAUGCCUUACACAUGCAAGUCGAACGGCAGCACGGGAGCAAUCCUGGUGGCGAGUGGCGAACGGGUGAGUAAUAUAUCGGAACGUGCCCAGUUGUGGGGGAUAGCCCGGCGAAAGCCGGAUUAUACCGCAUACGACCUACGGGUGAAAGCGGGGGAUCGCAAGACCUCGCGCAAUUGGAGCGGCCGAUAUCAGAUUAGCUAGUUGGUGGGGUAAAGGCUCACCAAGGCGACGAUCUGUAGCUGGUCUGAGAGGACGACCAGCCACACUGGGACUGAGACACGGCCCAGACUCCUACGGGAGGCAGCAGUGGGGAAUUUUGGACAAUGGGCGCAAGCCUGAUCCAGCCAUGCCGCGUGUGGGAAAGAAGGCCUCCGGGUUGUAAACCACUUUUGUCAGGGAAGAAACGGUCCUUACUAAUAUAGGGGCUAAUGACGGUACCUGAAGAAUAAGCACCGGCUAACUACGUGCCAGCAGCCGCGGUAAUACGUAGGGUGCAAGCGUUAAUCGGAAUUACUGGGCGUAAAGCGUGCGCAGGCGGCUAUGCAAGACAGAUGUGAAAUCCCCGGGGCUCAACCUGGGAACUGCAUUUGUGACUGCAUGGCUAGAGUACGGUAGAGGGGGAUGGAAUUCCGCGUGUAGCAGUGAAAAUGCGUAGAUAUGCGGAGGAACACCGAUGGCGAAGGCAAUCCCCUGGACCUGUACUGACGCUCAUGCACGAAAAGCGUGGGGGAGCAAAACAGGAUUAGAUACCCUGG